CAAGAGUUCUUUAUCGUACGUGUUCGCAGUACGUUUCUUUUUAGACUGCAUCCUCCGAAAACCCUCUUCUACCAAUACAUCAGUCAAUACCAAAGGAGAAAUUUGCGAGAGGGUGCUCGGAGAACCUCCAGCCAUCAUCCACUUUCCGGUGUUAAGUUACCUUUUGUGUGGUUGGUACAACAGGGAAUAGGAAGCACCUGCUAUUACUAGUGGGUACAAUAAAUAGCUGAGAUAACGCAUACUUUCUGCGUCGAAUUCACGUGUCCGCGCCUCUGCUGAAUUCUUCUCCGUGGGAUUAAACCUAAUCCUUGGAAUUAUACCAGGACCUUUUACGAAUUCAGCCCGUAGGAUCUUCUUAGACUUCCACAACUAAGAUGCAAAGAGGAAACGAUAGUCAACAGUUCUCACACUGAGUCCAGCAAGAUUAUUCUUGCUUCUCCAAAAGCUUACAUCAUUCUUGAACGCCAAGAAGUCAAAGAGAAGCUGCAAGGACGUGCAUUAUGAUUACAACUUUAAACAAUCUGCAUUCAGAUAUCACAAUAAUUUGUCAUACGUGCAUCGCUGCUAUGAAGAUGGUUCCAGCCAAGAGAAUUAUUCUUGGCUUCCUGUCAAAGAAUUGACAACUACACAAAAUACAAUAAACUGGCAAGCAGGACUUAUAGUCAACAUGGAAGGUUGAGUUGCUUGGAGCCACGUUUAUACCGGCGAUAGUUAACAAGAGUGGUUGCCAUGUUGGCGGACUGCGCUGGACUGCGCACGUAAGUUCAAGAAUUUGAGCGAGAUAGUGCAGAACAGACAUACAUGAACUUACGAGUUGUGAACAAUUUCUGAGAUCUGGAAAAAAAGUUAUAAAAAACUUAAUACACACUGAUUAAUUGGAGGGUAAAUGCAACUGUAAAAACCAGGUGGAGGUUUCUUC